CUCCUACGGGAGGCAGCAGUAGGGAAUCUUCCACAAUGGGCGAAAGCCUGAUGGAGCAACGCCGCGUGAGUGAAGAAGGGUUUCGGCUCGUAAAGCUCUGUUGGUAGUGAAGAAAGAUAGAGGUAGUAACUGGCCUUUAUUUGACGGUAAUUACUUAGAAAGUCACGGCUAACUACGUGCCAGCAGCCGCGGUAAUACGUAGGUGGCAAGCGUUGUCCGGAUUUAUUGGGCGUAAAGCGAGUGCAGGCGGGUCACUAAAUCUGAU
rnacentral:rRNA from 1 species